rnacentral:tRNA from 1 species
UAAUUAUUAGAACAUUUAAAUGUUAUGCGUGUCUGGAAUCCCCGUAUCGUUUAAAUUAGGUAUGAUGAG